AGGUGGCUGAGGAGAAAAAAUAAGCGUUAGAUUUUUAAUCUAAAGACGGUGUAUGAUUUUACCCCU
rnacentral:tRNA from 1 species